rnacentral:tRNA from 1 species
GCCGUCGUAGCUCAGUGGUAGAGCGCGCCAUUGGUAAUGGCGAGGUCGGAAGUUCAAUCCUUCCCGACGGCACCA